AUGUCAUCUGCUGUGCUGGGAAUGAUAGCACCCUUUUCCUCUGACCUGAGAGUCUUGUGUCUUCUGCCAGCAUCCAUGGAAGAGAGGCAAGCUGGCUGAUGUGCAGCAUGUGGGAUCUUAGUUCCCCAACCAGGGAUCAAACCUGUGCCCGUUGCCUUCCAAGCACAGAGUCUUAACCACUGGACCACCAGGGAAGUCCCUGUUUUACCUUCUGAUCAAACAUCUUCUAUGAGGAAGCCCUGGAGAUACAAAGGUCUUCUCUUUCUAUUUUGAAGUGAGACCUCUGGACUGAAGCACCAAGUGCACGGACUAAAGAUCAGGGAAGCAGAGUCCAGGAUCAAGGAGUCCACUGAGGAGCAGGACAGGAGAGAUCCCGGGUCAGCAAGCGUCCAAACGUACAUUCCAUACCUGCUCUGGGCCAGGCCUUGUGCAUCCUCUGGGAUCCAAGGGAAACUAUGACCUCAGCCCCGUCAUAAGUAGUUGCAUCCUGAAUAUCCACCUUUCAAUCGGUUAAAGAAAUAUUGGACAGAGGAGACUGGUCUCAGAAGUCUUGCUCUGCCUAGACAAGGAGUAUGAUAA
ensembl:lncRNA